AGCUUUCUGAAUACGUGCUGCGAUUUCGUCAGAAACCAACUUAUUAGGGCUGAUCAGACUUCCAAGAUAAGUGAAGUU
rnacentral:pre_miRNA from 1 species